CCUCAUAAAGCAUCUCUCUGCUUCAUAUGAACUGUACCAGACUACAAGCAAUAAAUAUAAAACUAUUCUGCAAAACAUUAACACUGAGGAAUCAUUAGAGCAACUUAACAAUGUCCAGCUUCUUAAUGUGGAAAGAGAAAGCUUUAUCCUGCUAGCUAAAGCAAAGGCAGAAGCAAAAUUAACGCAGCCACAGGACACUGUAUCUCACAGAUCCGUAUCCACCAGACAUUCUAAAAG